ensembl:lncRNA
GUUUAAAUAUGGAUGCCCAGGGCAAAUGUCAGAAUAACUCAAAAAUAAUUGCAGUCUGCUUCGAGUACCUCUGAAUCAUCAAUACCAGUUGUUUGGUUAAUUCUAGGGCCAAAUAAAAAGAUCGCUCACUGAAGUGAAUAUACCUUGAAGCCACACAAACAGCAGCAUUGCCUCUCAUGUAUAAAAAGCUGUGGCUCAAUAAAUUGUGUCCAUGGUUUUUGCAGAUUACCCUUUUGCUUAUAGUUACAAUCAGUGCUUUGGAAAAAAAAAAUCUUAAUUAGGUGCAUCCUUGGGGGAGGUCGAGGAAGCGCUCCAUCCUGCUUUUUCUGAUAUUAACUCUCUUUUUAACUUUUGGGCAAGGUACGACACUGUUGGAUGAGAGCGAGAAAACCAAAAAAUGAAGAUCAAGCUUUUACCACGGUGCAUUAUUUCUUUGAUGCCCUGUGGUGGCUUAUAUGUACACUCCAUUUGCCGGAUAAAAAAACAAAAAAAACAUAAAACAUUACUGACAUUAACACUCCUGCUUUCUCCCGGAGAGGCACUGUCAUUUUCAAGACAGGAACAUUUGCUCCGUCAUGCUCUCUCAUUCUCUCCCUCAGCCUCGACUUUACUGAUACUGUCAUUUCGGAAACAGCCUUUUCUCAGUCGCUCUCCAUCACCCUCUCCUCUCCUCUCUCCCUCUCUCGUUCUGCUCUUCCUACUUCCAUUCUCCCCUCUUUUAUUUCUCAACCUCUCCUUCCCCCUGUCCUCCCUCCUCACCAACGCAGGCAAGAUAACAUGCAGCCGUUCCAGCCCAUGUCUAAAGACUUAAGACAGCCAUUGGUGUCUCUAUGGUUGUGUCAUGCACCUCCGAACAGCGUGGAGGAAUUACAGGAUUCCACACAGCUUCAACUACAUUUAGGAAAAAUGUAGUGGGUUGAGAAAAACACCAGCAGGUCAAAUGCAUUUCAGACACAUUGUAAAUCCCCCACUUAAUAUCACAAUGGCGUCUCUCCACUCCAGGCCCCCCGGUGACACGGGCAGAGCACGUGCUCCUUAAAUCAUUUUAACAAAAAAAGGUCUUUAUCCAUGCCACCUUUUUUCUGUGGUGUUGGAAAGCAAUACAACCCCUAAGUGGAGAACCCCC